rnacentral:rRNA from 1 species
UACGAAGGGGGCUAGCGUUGUUCGGAUUUACUGGGCGUAAAGCGCACGUAGGCGGAUAUUUAAGUCAGGGGUGAAAUCCCGGGGCUCAACCCCGGAACUGCCUUUGAUACUGGGUAUCUCGAGUUCGAGAGAGGUGAGUGGAAUUCCGAGUGUAGAGGUGAAAUUCGUAGAUAUUCGGAAGAACACCAGUGGCGAAGGCGGCUCACUGGCCCGGUACUGACGCUGAAAUACGAAAGCGUGGGGAGCAAACAGG